UACGAGGGGGGCAAGCGUUGUCCGGAAUUAUUGGGCGUAAAGAGCUCGUAGGCGGCUUGUCACGUCGGGUGUGAAAGCCCGGGGCUUAACCCCGGGUCUGCAUUCGAUACGGGCUAGCUAGAGUGUGGUAGGGGGAGAUCGGAAUUCCUGGUGUAGCGGUGAAAUGCGCAGAUAUCAGGAGGAACACCGGUGGCGAAGGCGGGAUCUCUGGGCCGGAACUGACUGACGCUGAGGAGCGAAAGCGUGGGGGAGCGAACAGG
rnacentral:rRNA from 1 species